rnacentral:lncRNA from 10 species
CCUUCCUGGUGCGGUGGCAGAGGCGGCAUCGCAGUUGCAUUCCUUCUCCCUCCACCAUGCACAGCCUUCGGUAUCCCAGGGCCUGCAGGAUCCUGACACCCGUUAGCCAGUCCAGUGUCUCCCAUCUGACACUUGCAAACACACUAACAGAAAUACACAUAACUGGCAGAUGAUAUACGUGUAUUGAGAGAAGAUGGCGACGUAUCCACCGCGGAGGCUGCUGGGAGCAAGACCUUUACCCUCUGACCGCCGCCGUGACCCCCGUCGCUCCGGCUUCCCUCCAGGCGGCAGCGGAAGCUCCCGCAACCUCCGGAGCUUGUGCGCGUACUUCAGGGACCGGCACCACGUCACCGUCACCUCCUGAGUAGUGAGUUCCCCUCUGAUGAAACCACUGGUGUGUUUACUCACCAUCCCCACCAUUUUUUUUUCCCCAACCUGAUGGAAGGAAGUACAUAAUGGAGAGCAAGUUUUUAAAGCACGGUCGUGUCGUGUGAACUUGCUCUAGCCAAAUUAGGUUUAUAGCACUUUUUUUGGCUCUCAUUACCUCCAGUCCCCACAUAAACAAGAGUGACCAGCUGGGUCAUCCGCAAGACCGUUUGAAAUUAUUGUGGCUUGGGUGGAAACUUAAAGGAGUGAAGUAUCUGCUUUCCAGAAAAAUCGUUGUCAUUCAAAGUGAAAUUAAACUUGUUUUCUUUGCAAUAAUUCGCCUUUAUUUCCUUGUAUAUCUGUAAACUCUUCACUUUUUUGUAAUUACUAGACAAUUCGGACUUAAAAAGAGCCUCAGCAUGUGUAUUUUGGAAUUGUGUAGCUUCAUAAUGUGAAAAUUAUUCUUUUCUAUUUGAGUAAAGUACAGUUAAUUUGAAGUAAAUAAAAUUUCUAUUUCCAUUGGUUGUUUCUUUUAAAAAGUCACCUUUUACUUACAAAAGAAUCACUGUAAUCCAGUUUACAUUUAUCAUUGAAGGUCAAAAGCAAGAAAUAGGAAGAAACACAAGCAUACUAUAAAAUAAAAGGUAACUGUCAUGUUUUUGAAGGUAAGGUGUUUUGACAUAUCAGCAGACAUUGUGUGAAUUUAUUUCAACUCCUAGUGGUACUGGUGUAGGUAGAAAAUGUUUUGCUUGGUUAUUCAUUUCAUCAAACACUCUACUUCACUGUUUUUUUUUCACUUCAGGAAAAUUCGAGGAGGAACAACACAUACUAGUGUCUUUCCUUUCUUUCUCCCCGUCUUCUGCAAAUAGUCCCUUCCUCUUCCUGCUUUCUCCUCCUUCUCAUGUUAACAUCUUCAACCAUAAGAUGGUGUGUUAAAAGAUUGAAUAUACCUCUAUGGAAUGACUUCCAGAGGGUGUAAGUCUGAUAUGAGAGUUUUAUUACCUUGAGUAUUUUACUGGAAGAGAUAGAACAACAAACAUUUUCAUAAUAAAUGUGUGGGUUAGGAGUGUUAGGAGAAAAUACACUGAUACUAUUACUUUCAAUAUUUGAUACUACUUACUUUGACUCUCACUGAACACCUAUUUGUUUAGGAUGAAUUCACUUUAAGCCGGGUUGAAGAACAAGCCUUUAAUUGUCCUAUUAUUUGUGCCAAAUCUAUUAUAAAUUUGUUAAAAAAUUUUUAAUACCUACCUUAGAGGGUACUCUAGGUAUUUAAUGAGCUAGCAUUUGUUAAAGGCUUGUAUAGUAAGAAUUCUUAUAGUAAGAGUUCUUACCAAUAGAUGGUAUAUUUUUUAAAUUGUCCUGUUGCAUCAAAAAGUUCAUCUUUAUUGGUAAUGUUGAUUAAGUUUGCCCAUUUGGUAGUUUGGUUUCUUUUAACUAUCUUACUAGAUUUUCUUACUUUUACCUGAAAAGUAGUCCUUACUAAUAGGCACAUGUUUUGUAUAUUUCCAAAAUAUGUAUUAUGUUAAAUUCUCUGUACACUUUAUUUAAAAAUUACAGACGUUGAGGGAAAAAAAAUACCCUAUUAAGGGAAGAAUGAGUUUGUGUAUAACUUGUAGAAGAAGGAGGCCACCCAUUUUUAGAAAAAUAUGGAUGGUAUUGAAAAUUUUGCCAUGGCAAGGGAUAAAAAGGACAGGCUUCUCUAAUGUGUCUGAAACAACAUUUGAAUCCCCUUUGUUCAUUCCCUAAAUCUGCUGCUCCUUUAGAAUUCCUGAUUUUCAUAAAUAGUACCACCAUUCACUUAUUUGCUCAGGCAUAAAACUUGGAAUUUUCUGAUUCUUCACACUCAUACAACUCAUCAGACAGUACCAUCAGUUCUUCCUGACAAAUACAUUCUGAAUUUAGCUACUUAUCACUUCCACUGGUACAACCCUUGGGAGCCACCAUCAUCUGUUGCUGGACCACAGCAAUAACCACACUAGUUGCUAUCACUUUCUAUCUGUACCCUCAUGAAUAUUUUCCCAUUUAAACCAUUCUCUAUAUACCAACCAAAGCAAUC